rnacentral:rRNA from 1 species
UACGAAGGGGGCUAGCGUUGUUCGGAAUUACUGGGCGUAAAGCGCGCGCAGGCGGUCUUCCAAGUCAGUGGUGAAAGCCCGGAGCUCAACUCCGGAACUGCCAUUGAAACUGUUAGACUUGAGGACGAGAGAGGUGAGUGGAAUUCCCAGUGUAGAGGUGAAAUUCGUAGAUAUUGGGAAGAACACCCGUGGCGAAGGCGGCCAACUGGACCGACAUUGACACUGAGGCGCGAAAGCGUGGGGAUCAAACAGG